AGUGGCAGACGGGUGAGUAAUGUAUAGGAAUCUACCUAGUAGUACGGAAUAAUUGUUGGAAACGGCAACUAAUACCGUAUACGCCCUACGGGGGAAAGAUUUAUCGCUAUUAGAUGAGCCUAUAUUAGAUUAGCUAGUUGGUAAGGUAAUGGCUUACCAAGGCAAUGAUCUAUAGCUGAUCUGAGAGGAUGAUCAGCCACACUGGAACUGAGAUACGGUCCAGACUCCUAUGGGAGGCAGCAGUGGGGAAUAUUGGACAAUGGGCGAAAGCCUGAUCCAGCCAUGCCGCAUGAGUGAAGAAGGCCUUUGGGUUGUAAAGCUCUUUCGGUGAGGAAGAUAAUGACGGUACUCACAGAAGAAGUCCUGGCUAACUCCGUGCCAGCAGCCGCGGUAAUACGGAGAGGGCUAGCGUUAUUCGGAAUUAUUGGGCGUAAAGAGCGCGUANGCUGGUUAGUAAGUUAAAAGUGAAAUCCCAAAGCUCAACUUUGGAAUUGCUUUUAAAACUGCUAACCUAGAGAUUGAAAGAGGAUAGAGGAAUUCCUAGUGUAGAGGUGAAAUUCGUAAAUAUUAGGAGGAACACCAGUGGCGAAGGNGUCUAUCUGGGUUCA
rnacentral:rRNA from 1 species